GGUUAAUUAACCUUAAUCAGUAAAUAAAUACGACAUUUUUUUUCUUUUUUGUGUCAUAAAAGUUAUAAGUUAAACAUGGAAGGAUCUAAGGUUAUGUUGGCUCUUCUGCUUAUUGGCUUAGUUGCCUCAACGCAUGCAGCCACUAUCUACCGUAUUUCUGUAUCUGCUUACAAAAUCUACUUAGAUCCUGAAGAUGGUUCACCGGUUAUUGAACUCAAUGCGCCUAAAUCUAAUAAUGCAGAUAAACACGAAGCUUAUGGGCCGUCAUAAACUAAUAUAAAUUAAAAAAUACGUAAGCUAGUAGUGUGUUUAUUUUUGUAAUUACGUCUUACAUUCAACAGUGUCAAUCAGCUUAAUUCAAUUUCAAAGGACAUAAUAAUUGUAUAUUAUUCGAUUUUCUGAAUGAACUUAUUUUAUUUAGUUUGGCGGUCUUAUAUUACACAUAUGUAUAUAUAUAAAUAUA
rnacentral:misc_RNA from 1 species